rnacentral:lncRNA from 1 species
AACAUAAUUGGUGGUAGAAAUGGAUGGUGAUGGUGUCGUUCUGUCAUAACUACAAAACUUUAUUUUUUGUCUCUGCUGCUUCCAACCUCCAAUCUCCAGCUCCAGCCAUUAGGAUAAAAGUACCACCUGUUUAAAGGCCUUACACUAUAAAUUCAACAAAAUUUAUGAGUGGGGGCAGUGCUGGGAUUACAGGCGUGAGCCACCGCACCUGGCCAGAACAUUCCAUUGUUAAAACAGCAUUCUGUGAAGGUCUGCAAAUCCAGCCACCAGAAUAUUGAUCUGAUGUCAGGUAGAACUCAUCCAGACUUGCAGAGGAGCCACUAUUCCUAAUCUCUGAAGGCAACAUGAAAGAUCAUGGGAGAUUGAAGAAGCAUAUACCAUGGAAUUAGAGCUUGCUAUAAUUUGCUCUGCAGUUAACUUCCACAUAAUUAUGUAUAACACAUUAUUAAUGAUUUGCAGUAGGGUACUGAUAUCAAGUUCCUAUUCUUCCUUGACUGUGGCACUGGUGAACCAAAUUCUUGCUCAAAGAUAGUUAUGAGAAUUGCCUGCUUUUCCUCCUGGCUCAAAUCUCUUCUUGCAAUUCUGUGUUUAUGCUGCCCUGUUCUUGUGCUGUGCUAGUCAGGGUUGGGGCAGCCAAGUUCUUGAAUGAAGAAUCUCAUUCUCACCCUUUCGAAGUUUUUUUAGAGUUUUUGCCAACUGCAUUGCUAAAGAGACAGCCUCUCAUCAAAGGAGUGUGCAGUAAGCCAAAUGUUUGUCCCUUGUUACUGAGAAAGGACUCCUCCUUCUCUUUUUAUUUACAUGCUUGUUCUGUUCUGUUCUCUUUCCCUCCAGUAGUCUGAUGCUGUGUUUUGUCUAUUCCUUGGCUGGAAAAAUGCUUCCUGGUUUUUUCCCCCCUUUUUCUUAAGAACGAAUGUUGGCCCCCUAUUUAUAGAACAUGCUCAACAGAGAAAAUUUGGAAAACACCAAAAAGCACAAGGGAAAAACUAUUCAUAAUCUUAGUACCCGGAAGUCACCACUAUUAUUAUUUUAGUAUGUUUGUAUUUAUCUAUUCAUUUACCUAUCUAAUCUUUCUAGGCAUUUUAAAAUUUAUUUUAUGAAAGAGCUAUCAUACCAUGCUUCCUAUUCUAUACUUUUUUUUUUUUUUGAGACGGAAUCUCACUCUGUUGCCCAGGCUGGAGUGUAGUGGUGCAAUCUCAGCUCACUGCAACCUCUGCCUCGGGGGUUCAAACGAUUCUCUGGCCUCAGCCUCCCAGGGAUUGCAGGUGUGUGCCACCACGCCCAGCUAAUUUUUGUAUUUUUUAGUAGAGAUGAGGUUUCACCAUGUUGGCCAGGCUGGUCUUGAACUCCUAACCUCAGGUGAUGCGCCAACCUUGGCCUCCCAAAGUGCUGGAAUUACAGGUGUGAGCCACCGUGCCCAGCAUGUUGUAUACAUUUUCAAAUUUGGCAAUAUGUUAAGUUCAUCUUUCCAUAUUUUGAUGUCAAGAACAUUUUCUGCAACACUAUUUUAUUAAGCUUAAUAGAUUUUAUUAGCUCAGUUUUAUAAAUGUAGAUUAUUUUUAUUUUUCUAUCAUAUAAUAUUGCAGUGAGUAUGAUUGUACAGACACCGUUGCACUCAUUUGACAUUUCUUCAGUAUAAAUUCCUAGAAGUGAAAUCAUACGGUCAAAGGGUGUGCACAUUUUAAGACUUUCGAUGACAUUGCCACAAUGCCCUUCUUGAAGGUGGUACUAGAUUGCUUUCCCAUCAACAAUCAAGGGUCCAUUUCUCAGUAUUAUGGCCAAGACUGGGCACUUAACUUUUAAAAAUUUUUGUCGAUUUGAUAGGUAUUAAGUAGUAUCUCAGAGUUUAAUAUGGCAUUUCUUUGCUUAUGAGUCUGAAUAUAUCUACAUGCGUUUCAUGGUCAGAUAUACUUUUUGGUGAUUUGCUUCUUUAAGUUGUUGUGCUUUGUCUAUUUUGUUUGUCUUUUUCUUAUUUUGUUGUGUUGAUAGAUAAACUCCACUAACUCCCUGACAACAUGGCAGAAGUGGUUAUCAGCCUGGACCCACACUACCUGGGCCCAAAUCCUACUAUACCCUUAAGAGGUGUGACCCUGGGUACGUUACUUAGCCUCUAUCAGUGCAUAAACACAAGAAAAAAA